rnacentral:rRNA from 1 species
UACAGAGGUGGCAAGCGUUGUUCGGAUUUAUUGGGCGUAAAGGGUCCGUAGGCGGUUUGGUAAGUCAGAUGUGAAAUCCCACAGCUCAACUGUGGAACUGCAUUUGAAACUUCCAGACUAGAGUAUGAGAGGGGUUAAGGGAAUUCCCGGUGUAAGGGUGAAAUCUGCAGAGAUCGGGAGGAACACCAGUCGCGAAGGCGCCUCACUGGUCCAUUACUGACGCUCAGGGACGAAAGCUAGGGGAGCGAACGGG